ensembl:lncRNA
CUAUUGUUUAAGUUUAAAAAUGUCAGCUGCUUUGUUGCUGUCCUGCUCAGUAGACAGGAGACAUUUAAGCUUCUUUUUUUUUAGAGACUAUAUUACAUUUAUUCUUAAAAGCAUACUAUCUUAGAAAAACUAAAGUGAAGCUUGCGUGAGGCAUCUACAGCGAGAGAAUCAAACAGAUAUGCAAUGCUGAAAUUCAGGUAAUGAUGUGUGAAUACAGGAACAUGCUUUACAUUUCAAAGAUGUAUCUGUGCUGCUCCACCUGUCUGUGACAGCAGUGAAGAAAACUGCCACACAGACUAAACAUAAACUGAUUGAACUUUAACUGGAAGAAAAGAUCUGACUAGCUUAGUGAUCACUCAAAAAGGAAGAAAAACUAGGCUUAUCUAUAUCACUUAUUUUUCGCAAUAUGAUCUGGAUUUUAUUACAUUUAUGGUAGCCUAAAGAACUGAACAAAGGACUAAUAAUAGGUAAGGGCAUGCAGCUGAUAAAUUAUCACAAUACUAUGUGUUUGUUAUUUGUAUAUAUCUCAAAAUUGUCACACUGUUAAAUUAGACCAAGUAUGAAGAUUCUUUUUUGUUGUAUUCAAAUUUAAUAAAAUACUGCUAUUUUAUCAACUGCCAGAUGCAAUUGCUAGGACAGCUGUUUUGAAUAUGUAACAGAGCUGUGCCAUGCUAUUCUUACAUGUUACAAGUUACUUUAGUGAGAUUUUGGGUUUCUCCUUUUCUUCCUGAAAAACAAAAUCAUUCUAAUAUUCUGAUUUAUUAUGAGUGUUGGAAACAGUUCUGCUGUCUAAUAUAUUUGAUGAAUAAAAGGUUAAAAAGAACUGCAUUUAUUCAAAAUAAAAAAUUAUAAUAAUAUAUAUUCUAAUAAUAUAUUUUCUUUACUAUCACUUUUUAUCAAUUUAACACAUCCUUGCUGAAUAAAAGUAUUGAUUUUUAUUUUUAAAAAGAAAGAAAAAAAAUUACUGACCCCAAAUUACUGACCAGUAGUGUAUAUUGUUAUUACAAAAUAUUUAUAUUUUAAAAAAACAUAGCUUUUUUUUUUAUUCAUCAAAGUAUCCUAAAAAAGUAUCACAUGUUCUGAAAAAAUAUUAAGCAGCAGAACUGUUUCCAACUUUGAUAAUGAAUCAUCAUAUUAGAAUGAUUUCUAAAGGAUCAUGUGAUAAUGAUCCUAAAAAUUCAGCUUUGCAUCACAGAAAUAAAUGCUAAUUUAAAGUAUAAUAAAUUUAAAAACAAUUAUUUUUAAAUUGUAAUAAUAUAUCACAAUAUAAAUUUUUUUUUUCUGUAUUUUUGAUCAAAUAAAUGCAGGCUUGAUGAGCAGAAGAAACUUCUUUCAAAAACAUUAAAAAUAGUAAUGUUUCCAAACUUUUGACCUGUACUGUAUAUAUAUAUAUAUAUAUAUAUAUAUAUAUAUAUAUAUAUAUAUAUAUAUAUAUAUAUAUAUAUAUAUAUAUAUAUACUGUAUAUAUACUGUAUAUAUAUAUAAAAAUAUAUAUAAAAGCUCGUUAGAGUUUGUGCUUAUUUGUGUUAUUCAGCCGCGAUGCACUAGCACCGAUUAAAAUAGAAAUCGUUAUGUUACGUUUCUUCCUGUUGUUUCAAAGAUUAAAGACAAAAUCACUUUCCCAAAUUGUGUGCAGCAGCGUGGUAAACACUAAAAUGUGGGGGUUUAAUAAUGUUAGCGUUCUGAGAUGUAGAAUAGUAAACACGUGUUUGUAUUGAAUAAACAAACGUUUUUGCGUGGUAGAGUUAUUUUUUUUAUUUUCAUUUGCAAUGUCAAGAACACCUUCACAUUUAAAUGAUCAGAUGAGAAUAUGACUGUUAAAUAUAGCAACUAUUUGUGUAAUAUUGAUGAUUAAGUUAGAGUUUUUAUUUUUAGACAGAACUUUGUGUUAAAAAAAAAUAAAAAUGAACAGGGGACAACUGCAGCAAUGCAUUCAAGGUUUCUUUAAGAAGAA